rnacentral:lncRNA from 1 species
GGUUUUAAGAUGGGUGCGGAAAUCCAAAGCCACUUUAAAGGAAGAUUUAAUAAGAAAAAUAGCUGUGAUUUAUAUUGAAAAUCUCAUGUUUUCAAGAUUAGAUGACCUAGGAGAUGAUCUUUCAUCUCGAAGUGGUAAAACUGAUAUUGUUUGGUGUCUGCACCUCCUUUCUAGUGCGUGUUCAGAAAUUCCGAAAUUCCAAGUUCGGCCGCCGAACGUUGUAUGGUUUUGCAUACAGUUUCGGCAGCCGAAGGAAAGGCGGUUGGCCACCUAUAAAGGCCCCUUUGACCGGCCAUGGAGGGAGCUGGAAGCUCUCUUUGUGGUCAAGGUGGGGUUUAGGUUCUCCUUGGAUGUUUUCAUGAUAUUUCCUCAAAUCUUGCAAGGUUUUCAUGAGUUUUCACUUGGUUUUGAAGGUUUUGAGUAAAAAGAGAAAGUUGUGGAGCUUGAAGCUUGAGGAGCUUGGUUUCUCCAUGUUUUGAAGCUAGGAUCACACCAGCCUUUGUUCUUGAAGAGGUAAGUGUUGAUCCUUAUGUUUUAUAGUGUUUUAAGCAAGUUUUAUGGAGGGAAAGGGUAGAGUUGCAUGGUUAGGGGUCAAAGGAUAUUUUUGAGGGUUUUUAUGCAUGAGUAUGUUUAUGUGUUAUGGGUGUUGUUUGUUGGGGUUUUUAGGUAGUUUUGGACCCCUUUGUGCAUAUAUUUGAGUAUAUGCAGCUAUGUGUGUUGAGAUGCAUGUUGAGUGAGGUUUGGGGGAAGUUGUGCAUGAGGUGAGUUAGGUUCUGCCUAACUGGAGAACCCAGCUUCGGCCGCCGAAGGAGGGUUCGGCCGCCGAACGUGGUGAGGAGGUGGUUUCGGCUGCCUCAACCUGCUCCCGAAGGAUUGGACUUUCGUCUCUGGAGGGGAGGUUCGGCCGCCGAAGGUGCCGCCGAAGGUUAGAGACUUUCGUCUCUAGAGUGUGUUUUGGCCCCCGAACCUUGCCCCCGAAGGCUUCGGCCGCCGAAAGAGGAGAUUCGGCCGCCGAAAGUAGGCGAGUUUCGUCUUUGGAGAGGACAUUCGGCCGCCGAACCUGCCGCCGAAAGUGUCCUGCCCAGCCUUCUUUUGCAUGCUUUGUGUGAUUGGUCUAGGAUCUUUUAGGGGGUUUUUGGGGAGUUGUUGAGGGGAUGUUUUAGAGUUAUGUUAGCAUUGUUUGGCACCUCAUGUGAGUCCACCUGUGUAGGAUCAGACCUGAGGCGAGGUGUUUAGCUCCAGUGUGAGAGUUGGCCCAGAGUUAGCCACAGCUUGGCUUCAGGUGAGUAGAACUAACUAUGCAUGUUUUAAAGCUAACUAUGCAUGUUUUCAAGCGAAUGGUUAAAGAUAGUGAUAGUAUGAGCAUGAGACACGCAUCAUGGAUGCCAUAUGAUACUAGGUUGUACUGCAUUAGAGAUCACGAAUAUGCUGCAUUGCAUUAUUAUUGUUGAUGGGAUGGACCAAGGCGAUCUCAGUAGCCCGCUACCUGUUAUGUCUAGAUAAGACCUUUGGGAGCUCUGCAGUUAGGGGCCGGGCUCUAGUACAUGUAGUGACCUGGGAGUCCGUAGGGACCGGGCACCGACAGAGGGAAUUCUGGGAUCAUGUCUAAUCCGAGAUGUGAAAUGUUUGUGCUGUGACACAUUCCAUGAAAGCAUGUAAUGACUAAACUGUUUUAUGGUUUCUACUCACUGGGCUCUAGUAGCUCACCCCAUUCCCUUAACCCCAGUUUUGCAGGGCCAGCGUUCAGCAGAGUGAGCUAUGGGAAAAGCAGAGUGUAAGCAUGGGUUGCCGUGUUUGGCUGUACUAGCAUAGCUAGGUUUUGAUAGCGUGGCAUGUAUAUGUAUGAGAGCAGCUUGAUGUAUCUGUUUAUGCAAGAUGAUGUAAAGAUCUAAGGAUGAUAUGUUAUGUUAUGUUAUGUUAUGUUAUGUAUGUGUGUAUAGUAUAGUCGUGGACAUGAUGUAUGGACAUGAUGUUUUAGCAUGAUGUAUAUACAGGUUAUGCAUGGAAAGAGCAUAUGGUAAAGAGAUAGAGUAUAAUGAGAUAAUGUCUAGAGUUGUGCUUUGCCCAGUGUAUGCUGAAUCCCUAGUUUAUGCAUGUAUCCUGUUUUACGUUUCUUGAUGAGAAAUGUGUCAAACUAGGCUUAACGUAUGCUGUGUUUAUAAAACUCCAGUGAUCAGGGAAGAAAGGGUAUAAAACCCCUUGACCCAUUUUGAGAGGGAAGAAAGGGUAUAAAACCCCUUGACCCAUAACAGAAAGUAAGGCUAGCCUGUAAUAUGCCGACCCUAAAAGAGUGGGUUCUAUGUUUUCAGCUGUAGAUCACUGGUGUAGGCCUUGACGGCUGUGGUUUUAAGGUUAAGCCUAGUGGUUUUACAGAAAAGGUUUUCAAAGCUAGUGUUCUAGUUGGAUCAUGUAUGGGAUUGAUUAGGUACACAGAGUUCAGUAGCAGGCUUGCUACGGGUCUAGGAGGUCUUAAGCCGAUCUGGAUCCUAGCGCCGAACAGUUUGGAGCCGUUACAGAGGGGUAUCGAUUUUCGGGCUGUUACAGUGUUCUUCUUCUAACGUUUUCUUUUCUUUCUUCCUCUCUUUUUCUUUUUCUUUUUUUAUAAAAUUUAUUUGUUUGAGUGGUUAUAAAUGAGCCCCUUGUCUUUAAAUUAUAAUUUAAUUUAUCU